GAUGAACGCUAGCUACAGGCUUAACACAUGCAAGUCGAGGGGCAUCAGUUUGGUUUGCUUGCAAACCAAAGCUGGCGACCGGCGCACGGGUGAGUAACACGUAUCCAACCUGCCUCAUACUCGGGGAUAGCCUUUCGCAAGAAAGAUUAAUAUCCGAUAGCAUAUAUUUCCCGCAUGGGUUUUAUAUUAAAGCAAUUCGGUAUGAGAUGGGAAUGCGUUCCAUUAGUUUGUUGGCGGGGUAACGGCCCACCAAGACUACGAUGGAUAGGGGUUCUGAGAGGAAGGUCCCCCACAUUGGAACUGAGACACGGUCCAAACUCCUACGGGAGGCAGCAGUGAGGAAUAUUGGUCAAUGGACGCGAGUCUGAACCAGCCAAGUAGCGUGAAGGAUGACUGCCCUAUGGGUUGUAAACUUCUUUUAUAUGGGAAUAAAGUGGUCCACGUGUGGAUUUUUGUAUGUACCAUAUGAAUAAGGAUCGGCUAACUCCGUGCCAGCAGCCGCCGUAA
rnacentral:rRNA from 1 species